rnacentral:lncRNA from 1 species
GCAUUGUAAGAAUGCCUCUGUGUAAUAUUCAGUGCGCUAAAAUUGCAUAAAUACUCUUUUUAGUGUUUAAUGUGAAUAUGAAAUAAAAAUAAAUAAAUAAAUAAAUAAAAGCCUCCUAAUGAAAUAGUGAUAAGCACAAGUUAUAAUAAAUAUUAAAUAUUUUUCUAACAAUAAACAUGGAUUUUUAGAGUGACAGCUAAUGUCAUGAUUGGAAUUUCCUUUAUAUUAAAUAGCAUUAGGAAAGUAUAAUUAGAAAUGAUAGUUUUCUACCACGUUGAAGAAUAAUUUAUGGAACCUCAGCAGAGAUGUUUUGAGAUGAAGAGUAUAAGUUAAAUAGAGAGUUGCAAACAAAGUGGCAGAGCAUUGUUUUUCAAAACAAACUGUGCCGAUACUUUUUCUUUUUGUCGUUUAUUUAAUUAAGGGCACUUGGCUAAUUAUUUCUAUUUAAAGAAGGUCCCUUUUAGAAAUCUUUCAAUUUCAAGAGCUUGUGCUUGAAAUUUACUCCAAUCUUUCUUUUUGUACCAAAUUUAUAUAUUUUCUUUCUUCCUUUUUUAUUUACUUGUAUCAUUUUAAUCUAUACUUUGGUACUUCAGCUUUUCUCCUCUAAAAAAUAAGAAAUUUCUCCUCUAAGAAAUAAGUUUCAAUGUUUUCCUUGUCUUAAGCUUUGAAAAAAGACCUGACUGUUGAAACUCUAUGCUGAGAAAAAUGCCUUCGGACACUGUGUUCCAACACAGGUGUCCCAUGUCUACAAAAUCCCAUAAAGACAACUAGCAUUGAGAUCCAAUGCUUUCAGGUAGACCUGAGGUUGAUCUUCCCUUCACACUGUGUUAUUAGGACUUGCUUCCUGCCAGGCUGCACAUGAGACAAACUCCUCUGAUGAAAGUCAGGGAUAUAACUUCAGCCCUGAGACUUCACUGAAGAGCCAUGAGGGUGAAGAGAAAAGCAGAGAGAUGGUUCGAAUGGGAUUGUAACUAUUUUGAUA